rnacentral:tmRNA from 1 species
GGGGCAGUCAAGGUUUCGACAGGGCUCUUGAAGAUGGUGAAGCGAGUCGUUGCGACACGUUAAUCGCAAAAUUAAAUUUAAACGCUGAAGAUAAUUUAGCAAUCGCUGCCUAAUGGCAGCUGUCCGCUUUAGUGUACCUAUGCAUUAAAAUCCGGGCAUCAUGAUCAUAGGAAACGACGCUUACAAAGCUUUGAGUAUGCGGGCGUAACAUGAAGCUACCAAAACCGGAAGGAUGUCUGCUUCCGUCCGGCAGAGGGAAUGUCAAAUAACAGACUACACUCGUAGAAGAACAUGGGAUGGUGUUUUGGACACGGGUUCGACUCCCGUCUGCUCCAUAG